rnacentral:rRNA from 1 species
UGAACGCUGGCGGCGUGCUUAACACAUGCACGUCGCCCGGAAAGGCCAGUGCUUGCACUGGUGCUCGAGUGGCGAACGGGUGAGUAACACGUGGGUGAUCUGCCCUGCACUUUGGGAUAAGCCUGGGAAACUGGGUCUAAUACCAGAUAGGACCAUGCUUUGGAUGGUGUGGUGGAAAGUUUUUUCGGUGUGGGAUGAGCUUGCGGCCUAUCAGCUUGUUGGUGGGGUAAUGGCCUACCAAGGCGUCGACGGGUAGCCGGCCUGAGAGGGUGUACGGCCACAUUGGGACUGAGAUACGGCCCAGACUCCUACGGGAGGCAGCAGUGGGGAAUAUUGCACAAUGGGCGCAAGCCUGAUGCAGCGACGCCGCGUGGGGGAUGACGGCCUUCGGGUUGUAAACUCCUUUCGCAACUGACGAAGCUUUUUGUGACGGUAGGUUGAGAAGAAGCACCGGCUAACUACGUG